UCUCACCUGAGGAACUGCAUCCUGUAGUGGAGGGGGAAAGGGAAGAAGCAAAAUGAACACCGUGCUAGUAGUGAGAUAGAUCACAGCCAAACUUAACUAAUUGUGUUGAGCCUGUCCAAUGUCAGCAUGAGAUCACUGUAGGAAAUACAAGUGCAAGACCAAAGAAGGCCCCAAAUGCAGGGUGGGAUGUGGGAAGAGCUGUACCAAGGCUGGUGGUGGCAACUCAGCAGCUCUCCAGCUUGCUGUCAGACUGACUUGUGCUUUCUCAGCUGAUGUUUUUGGAGGAGUGGCUUUUUUUUCAAGUGAAAGAUCAUUCCACAGGCAUUCCGACUGUCUGCUUCUGGAUUGAGUGCUUGGAGGACGUGUGAAACAUCUGCCAAUGCAGUUGUACUGCCAGAGCUCUCCUGCCAGGAUUGCCAGUCACAUCUGAAAUUUCCAGAGGUGUCCAUGGUCUCUGUGGUAGCAGCUGUUCUCCCUGCUCCAGAAUUUGCUGUCGCAAAUGCUAUGUAAGCAAUGAAGUAUGGUGCCAUGAGCUCGAUAAACACUACAACGGCAAUAAGGUAUGGUGCCCCCCAAUACUUGUCACCUCUUGCUGGUUGCCCACAUGACAGCCCGCUCCAGG
rnacentral:lncRNA from 1 species